GGAUUAGAUACCCUGGUAGUCCACGCCGUAAACGAUGUCUACUUGGAGGUUGUGGCCUUGAGCCGUGGCUUUCGGAGCUAACGCGUUAAGUAGACCGCCUGGGGAGUACGGUCGCAAGAUUAAAACUCAAAUGAAUUGACGGGGGCCCGCACAAGCGGUGGAGCAUGUGGUUUAAUUCGAUGCAACGCGAAGAACCUUACCUACACUUGACAUACAGAGAACUUACCAGAGAUGGUUUGGUGCCUUCGGGAACUCUGAUACAGGUGCUGCAUGGCUGUCGUCAGCUCGUGUCG
rnacentral:rRNA from 1 species